AGCAGCCGCGGUAAUUCCAGCUCCAAUAGCGUAUAUUAAAGUUGUUGCAGUUAAAAAGCUCGUAGUUGAAUUUCGGGAUCAAUAUGUCGGUCGUGCCUUCGGUACGUACUGGUAUCAUUGGUCUCUCCUUUCUGACGAACCAUGAUGUCAUUAAUUUGGUGUUAUGGGGAGUUAGGACUGUUACUUUGAAAAAAAUUAGAGUGUUUAAAGCAGGCUUUAGCUUGAAUACAUUAGCAUGGAAUAAUGAAAUAGGACGUUCGAACCUAUUUUGUUGGUUUUCUAGGAUCAACGUAAUGAUUAAUAGGGAUAGUUGGGGGCAGUUAGUAUUCAAUUGUCAGAGGUGAAAUUCUUGGAUUUAUUGAAGACUAACUACUGCGAAAGCAUUUGCCAAGGAUGUUUUCAUUAAUUCAAGAACGAAAGUUAGGGGAUCGAAGACGAUCAGAUACCGUCGUAGUCUUAACCAUAAACUAAUGCCGACUAGGGAUCGGAUGAUGUUAAUUUUUAAUGUACUUCAUUCGGC
rnacentral:rRNA from 1 species